AGCCACCAACUACGAAAGCGACUAAUAACAGGAAGGUUUCCAUAUGCUGACACAGCAUAUAUUGUGCUGACUCAGCGCGGUUUCCACAGUGUACAGUAUGUGUCAGGGCUCCUAUUUGAAUUCUUCUUCUUCUGAGACUGUACUAGUAGACUCCUGUGGACUAGCUCAUCUACACUACUCUAGCCUACUGUGGACUGUGAAGAAGUUCCUGCAGUACCAAUCUGUAUCUUCUGAAGGAGUAUUCUUCUCUACUUCAAUGUCAGUGCAAGACCUAUACAAGAGAUAGUUAUUAAAAAUGAGUUUCUUAGAGAAGUAAGAUUGGAUACUGAUCAAAUCUUCGUCCACCACUUCAUCAGGUGGCUGUUUAUUCUGUCAAGAAUUGCCAACAUGAACUCGUGAGCAUCUUCUUGAUUACCUGCAUGGCUGCCAGUGAUGCAUCAAACCUUCGGUAUAUUCAAUAAAAACUGAGAGUAUAUGCCAGAGGGAUGAACUUGGGAUCUCGUCUGACAUUCGUCGUACAGGCUUUUAAGUGUGCACACCAUGCAUAACUGUUCACUUCCCUGACUAUGUUCUGUUACAAAUUUUACAUGAACAAUUGAAUGUGCAUUAUUAAUAUUCUCCUUACCAUGUGGUACUCG